UAGGGAAUCUUCCACAAUGGACGAAAGUCUGAUGGAGCAACGCCGCGUGAGCGAUGAAGGCCUUCGGGUCGUAAAGCUCUGUUGUUAGGGAAGAACAAGUACCGGAGUAACUGCCGGUACCUUGACGGUACCUAACCAGAAAGCCACGGCUAACUACGUGCCAGCAGCCGCGGUAAUACGUAGGUGGCAAGCGUUGUCCGGAAUUAUUGGGCGUAAAGCGCGCGCAGGCGGUCCUUUAAGUCUGAUGUGAAAGCCCACGGCUCAACCGUGGAGGGUCAUUGGAAGCUGGGGGACUUGAGUGCAGAAGAGGAAAGCGGAAUUCCACGUGUAGCGGUGAAAUGCGUAGAGAUGUGGAGGAACACCAGUGGCGAAGGCGGCUUUCUGGUCUGUAACUGACGCUGAGGCGCGAAAGCGUGGGGAGCAAACA
rnacentral:rRNA from 1 species